AUCAUCUUUAAAUUGACUAUACCUAUUCAAAUGUAAAAAACAGUAGUGAGGGGGAUUUAAUUCAAAUACAUUUUGCUUAUACACUAUUCUUUUCUUUUUUACUCAAGACCUCUUUUCAUUUAUUUGUAUGCAGCCUCAGCUCUAUUUCAAAAGUGCAAAUUGCUUAGCAGCAACAGAGAAGCAAAAAAUCACUUUAUCUGCUGUCUUUUAAAGCUAAGUAAAGUUUCAGGUCAGUCAGUAUGUUCUUAAAGGAAGCAGCUUAUUUGUUUUUUGAAUGAAUUGGGAUUCAGAUGCUUGGAGUCGAACGAAUUGAGAGGGUAUUACCAACUGGUACUUCUUUGAGUGUUUUUGGUGAGGUAUGUUCUUGCUCAAUUAAUAUUAUACUAUAAGUACUUAAUAUGAUUUUACAUGCAAAUUGACUAAAAGCUAAUGAAUGACCAUUAGUGUUCAGAUGAUAUAUAUCGGUUUAUAUUAUAGAAUUCCAGCACAGACCAACAUUUUUAAUUUAAUAUUUUACCAAUUGUUAUGGUGUACACUCCAAUAAACGGAUUUUUGUUAUAGUUUCAUAA